rnacentral:rRNA from 1 species
CCCUGCCAUUUGUACACACCGCCCGUCGCACCUACCGAUUGAGUGUUCCGGUGAAGCCUCGGGAUUGUAGUUGGUGUCCUUUAUUGGACUCUGACCGCGAGAACUUGUCUGAACCUUAUCACUUAGAGGAAGGUGAAGUCGUAAC